CAGGGACAAACGCAUGAUGUGAGGGCUCGUGAUUGGGUGGAAGUGAGCUGUGACUAACGGAGAAAGACAAGCUAAAAGAAGAAGAAAGACGAAAAGACAAAGGAAUUUGAUAGGUGCGAUAAAAUCCACAGCAGAUACCAGGAGUAUGUAACAAAGUGGGAAAAAGGUGUGAAGGAAAGCGAGAAAGAAAAUUUAAAAAGGACACAAAAUGAGAGCGCUCCCGUGAUCGACAUGAAUGACUUCAUGUAACGAGAGAAGGAGAGAGUGGAUGUUCACCGCUCACACAGCCGGAUCCACGUUGCACGUUCUUCUCGCCUCGCAGAUUCUUUUCCACGAGAGGAAGUGCUACAACAAUCUGACGUCAUGACAAACGACUAACGCUGGAGACACCAGGACACUUGGCACCACACUGACGUGACCCAAAAUUCGACCCUGCGGGACGCCAGUGACGGUCUGACAUGAAAGAUGAGGCGCAGAGGAGGACAUCAUCAACAGGCGGCGGGGAAACAAAGCUCCAGCUAAUCGCUGCUUCCUACAAAACUACAUCUGUAAAGUUACUUUUAACCCGAGAAACAAGCAAGACCAAAUAGCGAAACAGAGUAAAGACUCUUACACAGUCAAUUCAUGCUGUAGACGUGUUUUGUUCCUCACAAAAUUAACCUCUUUGAACCUUAACCAAUUAUUUUUACCAAGCAGGGAAGAGCAGCUUAAGACAACUUCAGGCACUUGCGUAACAAACUACAAGAAGAAACAGAUCUGCGCGCAUUUCCCCCCCUGGUAACCGUCCAAUAUUGAGGCUUCUUCAUGCCUCUGCUCUCGCUGUCUGCAAUGAGCGUCUGUGUACAUAGUUCUCCUGCACUUGGAUGCCCUUGCCACUCUG
ensembl:lncRNA